CCCUUAGAUGUUCUGGGCCGCACGCGCGCUACACUGACGAAGUCAGCGAGCAUGUCCUACGCCGACAGGUGCGGGGAAUCUUGUCAAACUUCGUCGUGAUGGGGAUUGAUUAUUGAAAUUCUUGAUCAUCAACGAGGAAUUCCUAGUAAGCGCAAGUCAGCAGCUUGCGUUGAUUACGUCCCUGCCCUUUGUACACACCGCCCGUCGCACCUACCGAUUGAAUGAUUCGGUGAAGAUUCCGGACCGUGUUGUCACCGCUUCACGGCGGUUUUGACGUGGGAAGUUAUCUAAACCUCAUCAUUUAGAGGAAGGUGAAGUCGUAACA
rnacentral:rRNA from 1 species